CCAUGAGUAAAGUGGCGACCGGGUGAGGUAACACGUGACUAACCUACCCUGGAGUGGGGGAUAACCUCGGGAAACCGGGGCUAAUACCGCAUAAACUUUCGAGGAAGCAACGCCUUGAAAGCAAAGGAGCAAUUCGCUCUGGGAGGGGGUCGCGGCCGAUUAGUUAGUUGGCGGGGUAACGGCCCACCAAGACUUUGAUCGGUAGCCGGCCUGAGAGGGCGCACGGCCACACUGGAACUGAAACACGGUCCAG
rnacentral:rRNA from 1 species